CGUAGCACAAUACUAAUGACCUAGUAAUGCUGCAUAUGCUGUUUGUUCAUCCCUGUUAUUUUCAAACUUUUUAACAGUAAAACAAUACAAAUUUGUAUUUGUGCUUAUGUGACUUGCAAACUACAGCAUGGGUGUGGAAGUCAGAAGACAAGUGUCUACGAGGUGGGUGACUUAGGCCAGCAACCUUGGCAGCAGGCACUGUGCCUGCUGAGCUGGCUCACAGGCCCAACAUGAUAAAAAUUUAUUGAGAGCAUUUAUAUCUAGGACUCCAAUAUUGGAGGUAAAUCUACUUCAUGUUAGUGCUUUCCUACUCGUAAAAUUAUACGUUUAUGAUGUAAAAGAUCAGAUUCAAUUAGGGGCUCGAGAGAUGGCUCAGUGGUUAAGACUGUUGGCUGCUCUUACAAGCGAACCCUGCUCAGUUCCCAGCAGCCAUGUCAGGUGUCUCACAACCACCUGUAACUCUACCUCCAGGGGAUCGGACUUCAACAGAUCCUGUCCUCACACACACAUCCCACAUUCACCCCGCACCACACACAUGCACAAGCAAGCCAUGAGGAGAAAACCAGUAAACAGAACCCCUCCAUGGCCUCUGUAUCAUCAGCUCCUGCUUCCAGAUUCCUGCCCUGUUUGAGUUUCUGUCCUGCCUUCUUUCAGUGAUGGACUGCAAUGUGGCGUGUAAGCUGAAUAAACCCUUCCUCUGCUAAA
rnacentral:lncRNA from 1 species